GGCGGCCAGACGCCUAUCAUUCAACUCUUCCCAAUCCAAUUGCCCAGUAUAAAUAAAGGCAAAAAAAAAAUAAAUCAGAAGCCGAGUGUUUUUAAAUGCACUAAAUGAAAGGCUGUAUUCAUGCCACCUCCCUCAAAUGAAUCACCAGAUUAAAUGCAAGAUGUGAGCACCAAAUCAAUAACUUGAGACAGAGAUGUCUUGCCUGUUCUUCAGGAAAAUUCCAUUUCCUUUCCGAUGUUGUUGCUUGAAAUGUCAGGAAGUUUCCAUACAUCUCCACCCUUGAAAAUGCCGCUGGUGCCGUCCAUCCUCCAGCUUUGCUUCCUUUCUUCAGGGAAACCCAGGCACCUUGCCAGAGAAAGGCCUCGUGUCACAGCCUCUGAGAGCCUCUACAUAGGCAGUGUGUGGAAGGAAAGGCAUGGAGAGGUUGGGGUGAAAAACAAACAAACAAACAAACAAACAACAAAACCCCCAAAUUAGAAUACCAAUGUUUUCUUCCAGUGCCUCAAAGAGACCACACUAUUGUGUGUACUACAGGUGGGCCACUGAGGCUAAUAGAAGAAAAUACAUUAGGGGGUUGAGAAGGGAACCUAAGUCUUGACCUUGAAUGUUCUCUAUGCUUCAUUGUUGUCUAAUAGAAUAGAGUAAAUACAAAUGAGGCUCAUUGUGGUCUCUACACUGCCUCCCACGUGUCACAUAACCCUGGGCUGUAUAUGCAACUCCUCGCACCUGAACAUCUGGAUGUAUAAAUGGGGUCAUGGCAGCCAAGUGUUCAGCUGCUGUCACUGUUCAAAAUGCAAUCAAAAUGGAAUAUCUCAUUUCU
rnacentral:lncRNA from 1 species